AUUGAACGCUGGCGGCAGGCCUAACACAUGCAAGUCGAGCGGAGUGGCGGACGGGUGCGUAAUGCCUAGGAAUCUGCUUGGUCGUGUGGGAUAACGUCCGGAAUCGGGCGCCAAUACCGCAUACUAUCAGAUGAGCCUAGGUCGGAUUAGCUAGUUGGUGGGGUGAAGGCCUACCAAGGCGACGAUCCGUAACUGGUCUGAGAGGAUGAUCAGUAACACAGGAAAUGAGACACGGUCCAGACUCCUACGAGAGGCAGCAGAGGGGAAUAUUGGACAAUGGGCGAAAGCCUGAUCCAGCCGUGCCGCGUGUGUGAAGAAGGUCGUCGGAUUGUAAAACGCUUUAAGUGGAGAGGCGUUAACAACAGAAUAAGCACCGGCUAACGUCGUGCCAGCCGCCACGGUAAUAC
rnacentral:rRNA from 1 species